CCGCCACAGGAGGCUGGAGCGGAGUGAAGGGGAGGAGCUACAGGGGCUCCAUCCGGAUAGACGCGCUGCGCCGCUCGCUUCCUCUGCCCGGGAGCGGCUGCUUUCGGCGGAGCCCUUUGCUAGGGACCCGUGUGCCGGAAGGGAGCUGGCAGUGAGAUAAAGGAGAACAGAGGUUCUGUGACUGUAACUCUUGUAAAGAAGAUUGGGACCACACUAAAAUCUCUGGAUCCAAAAAAUAUCUAGGAUAUGAAGAAGGAACAAACUAGUCCUGCAAAGAGAAAAUAAAACAACCACUGGAUGAGUGAGUACUGCAGACUGCUGUCAUUCAUCACAUCAACAGAUUCUCUUGUCUUUUGGAACCACAGGAAUAUAGGUCUGUGUAAGUGCAGGAAGUCUUCCAGGGACCCAUCUACAGUGGAGGCUCCAGAGACUGAGGGCCUAAAACAAGGGCCAGAUUACCGAGGAUGAGAGGAGAUAGCCACUGGGGGCAAAUGCUCACAAGAAGACAACAAAUUCCAUUUCAACUGCCUGCAACUCUUAAGUCGGCUUUUGAUGAAAAGUGUGGCAAAGGAGAGAUCACAAAUACCAAUGGAGACUGCUUUGGUUAGACAAGAAUAAUUGAUCACAUGUGGUACUAAAACAAACUGGUAGGCCAAUGCUCUAAGUUGCUGGUGUGGCUGGCCAAGAAUUUGGGGGAGUACUGCCUAAUAUAUCAUCUGUCAACGUGAGCAAAAUAUACUCCAGACCUGUCAGAUGCCAGAACAGAUUGGAAUUCCAAGGUACUUGAGAAACUUAAGGAAUCUGGUGUCUAAAAUGACAAGCGUUUACAUGCCCUGCCUAUGUAUAUUUCUCAUAUGUCUGUAGCGGUAGUAUGUACAUGCCCCUUACCCGAAACAGGAAACAUCAAUUCUGCCACAAAUAGGCCAAGGUGGUAAAAGCGGCCAGAAUCUAGUUGGGACACUGAGGCAAGCAGAGAUUUAGUGACUUUUCCAAGAUCAUUUUUCCAAAGUAACAAGGCUUGGUACAGAAAUUUUAGUUCCCAGUCCUUUGCUUUAGCCAAAAGACCAUAUUACUCUCUAACUGCAUAAAUAAAAGACAGGAAUAAUCUCUGUCCUGAGGAACUUACGGUCAGUCAAAUUCAGACAGAUGCAACACAUAACUCAAACAGAAUAUAGUCAUUAGGCAGUGAUGGCACAGAGAUCAAUGUUGGAAGGCUUUACUAAAGAAGCAGAUUUUAAAAAGAGGACUUGAUGGAAAACAAGAAGUCUAAAGUUAUUUUAGUCCCAGGGAGCAACUUGAACAAAUUUUUAAAGCCAUGAUUGCAAAUGUCAUUUUUAAAUACAUAUAAUGAUGUAAAACUGGCCUUUAAUGUGAAAUAGCAUGAUAAAAUAAGGUAACUAUUGUUCAGCAAAGUAAUGUUCAGGGUCUGACUGACACCCUAAAGAAAAAAAAAAUCCCAAAUUCAGAGUUAAGGUACCAGGCAACAGUGAUUUUACUCCUUUGUGCAUACUUAUUAUGAUAGGUUGUAUUCAGUAAAGCCUUCCAUUAUAUGGUGUCAUAACACUAUUGGGCAAAUGUUUAUUUUUUUACGGCAAGGGUUAUCUAUGUGGAAGGUAUUAUUAAAUAUUUAAAUUGUAAGAAAUUUUGUUAUCAGAUUAUUCAGGCACUUUACUGCCCAUUUACACCAAUGUUCAUCUAGCACCUUGAGACAGGAAUUGGUUUGAACAUUUUUUGAGCAGGCACAAUGAUUUCCAAACAAAUAUGUGUAAGUCAGAAUUGAAGAGACCAGAGGGCAAAUUUAUGCCUGCUUAAUGGAGCAAAUCUAGGGAUUAAUCUGGUCUAGUAAGUUCAAGUGUGUUUGAAGGCAGUGUUGCCAGCAAAGAAUUGUCCUAAAUACACUUACUUCUAGGUAGUUAAUUUGCUAUCUAGAUUUCAGUUAAUUUUCAGGAAAUAUGGCAAAUGGGUUAAUGUAUCCUCAUGAGAAUGUUCCAAGCAAGUUUUUCAUUCACAAUUUAUCUUAACUAGUAUAAAAUGAAUAUUAUAAAGCUAUAAUUAAACAUUAAAACUGUUCACUAUACAUACAUACCUAGGCUUGCUCAAAAUGGCAAUAUAAAGAAAUAUUCCUUAACUGCAGUCCUAGAAACUUGUUGAUGCAAUUUGGAAAAGAUGGCCAGGAAAGUGAUCCACAGUGUUCUAAAAUGUGACUCCAUAUAGAUGUAGUAGAAUGUUCAGAAUGAAGCCCUGCUUUCCCAUUGGUUGUUGCACAGCAAAGAAAAGAGGAGUGCUGUAAAUAGAACAGUAUCCAGGGUAACUUGCACUUCAAACUUUGCAACUUUGAAAAUAUUAUCUCAGUUUAUAACAAAUAAUUAUAAGUUUGUUAAAUUUGCUCAGCUUUGAUUCAGACAUUCAGAUCCUCCAGCUAGUUCUGUUGCCCCAGUCCUGCACCAAUUGAAGUCAGUGGCAACACUCCCAUCGACUUCAGUGGUGCAGGAUAGGGUCCAUAGAAUCAAAUCCUGUCAUUACCAGAGUCAAUGGGAAUUUUGCCACUGAGUUUAAUGGAACUGGGAUUGGACACUAAAUGCUAGGCUAUGGCCUUCAUGGUGGUUGCUGUUCAAUUAUAACACUGUUUUUAAAAAGGAAAAUAGCAAAUGCCACAAGACUCUUAGCCUCAUCAAUAUCCUAUAUCCAUCUUUAACUGAAUAGCUUCACUUUGGCUAUUUCUUCCCCAUCUCACUGUAUGUAAUUAGCACAAACACCAGUAUGCUUGACUCUAGAUGAUGGCAGGCGAAAUGCAUUCAUUGGCAACUAAGCGUAAAGCAGCUUAAAUGAAAUUCAGACAGUGAUGGGGCAAAGAUAUUUCAUGCAUGCUGCAAAUUUGUAUAACAAGUAGUCCAGCCUGAUGGAAUUACACACUUAACUUCUACAAAAUAUGGUUAUAAUGAACAUAUUGACAGUGACAGCAAUGCUACAAGCAGACUUCAUGAUAAAUAACUUUAAGCAGUAAGGAAAUUAAUCAGUGCUUUCAAAUGUCCCCCUUUCACUACAAGUUUCAUUACAGGGCAUACAAAACAUUUUUUUUACCUUGUCUAAAGAACAGUUUGGAUAAUCCAGUUCCAAAUUCAAGUUCCCAAGAUUCCUAGCAGCCAAUAAAUAUAACAAACAGAUAUUCUUAACAGCAAAUACAGUUUGGAUGGCACAGUUGGUUCAACUUUGUACUCAGGAUUCCUGAUGUCAGUUUUGCCACAGGUCACAAGUGGAAUUUGGUGAUUUCAUCUGGGUCAUUAAUGGAUAUUAGCAUCCAAAGAAGUCACAGCACCAUCGGUAGUAACUUCUCAAGAGAAGUCCAGAAUAGAAGCAACAGAAGGAUUGCCACCCAUCAGUUUUGAAAUGCUUUGGCAGAGCCAGCUGCUCGGCUGUGGCUCUGGAGGAUGUGAGGAAACAAAGAGGGUGGGGUUGCAAAGGUGGCUUUAAGUCAGGGGUUCUCACAACAAAAUUUUGGGGGGGCCACAGGGUGUGAUCACCAACUCUUGCAGCUAGCCGCUCUGACAAUUUUUCCUAAAAUACUUAAUUGACUUUAAGAAAAACAAAUAUAUAUGCACAUAUACAUGUCCAAAUCAUCGUAAUUUAUUUAUACAGGGCUUUUUUGCAUACUCAGUAAUAAAAAUAGUCUACAGUU